UUUUCUUGACAAAAUCCCCCGUUUUUUGCUGAGGAAAGCUUCCAUCGAGUGGUUUCUUCUCCUGGAUGCUGAUGAUCUAACGCUGAAACGAUCCAACGCCAUCGAUGAUGCAGAGCCAAGAUCCGAAAACAAAAGUUGUGCCUGCCUCGAAGGUGAAAACAGGCUCGAUAAUGACAGAUGCCAUCGAACUCGCGUGGAGAAACUCGGCGACCGCCCCUACCCUGC
rnacentral:lncRNA from 1 species